CGACCAUCUUUUAUUGAGACUGCCCAGCGUGUCAUCUCGCAAUCUACAUCGUCCUGAAUGUCCACGAAGAUUUUCAUCCCUGAGUCAAUCUUCGGCAGGAUAAAUCUUCAAACGGUACCAAAGAAGAUAACGUUAAGAUAUGCAGUGUCGUGCGCGCAGAUGCAUCUGCUUCUAAGUAAAUAGAAAACGUGUUCUGGCUCAUCCGGAAGAUGUUUGAAUACACCAUGAAGAAGAAGAAGAAGUAAAGAGACUCUUCUCCAGGUUGCGAGGCUGUCUCACGUCGGGCACACGACGUCCAUGCGACGUCACGUAAUACAAACACAAGAACCAAAAGGACUAAUCAAACAAGGAUAUAGGCACAUAUUGGUUGACACAGGCAGCUAACGACGACACAGACUUCAUAAUUAUCCUUCGUGCGAGUAGGCAUUUCUCUGUGUAUCCAGAAUUGCGAGUAGGUAUUUCUCACAGUGCACGGUCUGAAGCCACGCACAGUUUUGAAAGCGUGGGUGAGACACGCGAGCCAAACACAAGCGUCCCGACGCUCUAGGGAAGAAGAAAAGAUGGACGGAAAAGUAAUGCCAACAAUUCGCUCGCCGCAUUCCCACAAUUACGUAAGCGCCUGGACCGGUCUUUCGGAUUCAGCUUUAAUGAAGGAUAAUCACAUUUAAUUAUUCGCCCCGAGCGCGGUAAUAUAGACUAUCUGCCAGGAUCUUGUUGAUCUCGAGUACGCAGCUCAUUUGGUAUAUUAAUAAGUGAUAUAUAGUAUGAAAUCGUUCGUGAGAACCGUGAUAAAUGAUUAAGGUACUGUAAGAUGAUUAAUUUCAAUGACAAAUUAUUUAUGUAAAUUUUUCUUUUAUUUUUACUGAUACGCAGUAUUGAAAUCGAUGCAUCCUUAAGUAUUGUGCUUGAUGUGUAAUUGAAAAGCUUUUCUCUGGCCGUGUUAGCCGAUUUAACGGGCAUGUAAAUCAAAGUGAUAAGUACGACGUGGUGGCCAAGGUCGGUCAUGGUGUCUUGGAUGAUUAAUCAUUUAUUUUUGAGCUCACGGUGGACCAGGAGUAAUCUUACAUAGGGUAUAGUACUGCGGGUUCUUAAGUUACUGUCAUAAUUCAUCGUCUUCGCUGUUUAAAAGUGAGAGCCGGCAUGCUGUGUCACAGGAGGCUAUUAAUGUUGAGAUUCGCUGGAGUUUCACACCCUUUUAUAUUAAUAUAUAUCCAUGGAAAUCUGAAGGGUGUAUAUAUACGUCUGCAGAAACGGAGAAUUAUUACAAUCCGGAAGCGAGGGUCAGGUACUUGUUAAAAAUACUUGUAAGAAAUGUUUUUAAAGCUUUUUUUGUAAAUGCGCGACACGCACUGCACAAUUAUUUCACAUGCUAAUUUAUGUUCCGCUGAAUUUUUUUUCACCGAUGAAUUCAAGAUACGAGUCACGUAAAUAAUUUUUUUUUACAUUUUCACAUGAAGAGUCGACCUUCUGAAAACGUAUGAUAUAUCCUCUGACAUUGUGGCGAUUCAAGGACAAUUUAUAAAUUAUAUGCGAUUAUAUGCGUAUUUUUCGGAAUAUUCCUGUUCUCUUAGGAAAGCUUAUUGUAGUGGAUAUUAAAGUGGAUACUUGAUUAUCAUUUUUUGGUGGCAACAAUUUUUAUCGUGUCUGACGUGCUUUGACGUUAACGUUGGAAUGUAUGAUGGCGGCGUGAUGGCAAAGGCUGGAAAUAAUUAUUAGACCAUAAAGCAUCGUGAAAAUUUAGCACGUAUCAAAACUAUAAUUUCACCUUUUAUAAUAUAAACCUGUAAAGUUUUCAUAGGAUUUACGCAUCCUUCAAG